GACGAACGCUGGCGGCGUGCUUAACACAUGCAAGUCGAACGGUAAGGCUCCAGCUUGCUGGGGUACACGAGUGGCGAACGGGGGAGUAACACGUGGGUGACCGGCCCUGCACUUUGGGAUAAGCCUGGGUAACUGGGUCUAAUACCGGAUAGGAUCAUGGCUAGGGUAGAGUGGAGGAAAGCUUUUGCGGUGUGGGGUGGGCACGCGGCCUAUCAGCUUGUUGGGGGGGGAAUGGCAUAGCCAGGCGGCGACGGGUAGCCGGCGUGGGAGGGUGGACGGCCACAUUGGUACUGAGACACGGCCCAGACUCCUACGGGAGGCAGCAGUGGGGAAUAUUGCACAAUGGGACGAAGCCUGAUGCAGCGACGCCGCGUGGGUGAUGACGGCCUUCGGGUUGUAAACUCCUUUCACCAUCGACGAAGGGUUUCUGACGGUAGAUAGAGAAGAAGCACCGGCUAACUACGUG
rnacentral:rRNA from 1 species